rnacentral:rRNA from 1 species
AUUGAACGCUGGCGGCGUGGAUAAGACAUGCAAGUCGAACGGGACCAGGUUUGUAGCAAUACAGGCUUGGUUCAGUGGCGAACGGGUGCGUAACACGUGAGCAAUCUGCCGGGAAGUGGGGGAUAGCUCGCCGAAAGGCGAAUUAAUACCGCAUGUGAUUAGAGAGGACAUCCUUUCGAAAUUAAAGUCGGGGCAACCUGACGCUUCUUGUGGGGCCCGCGGCCUAUCAGCUAGUUGGUGAGGUAACGGCUCACCAAGGCUUUGACGGGUAGCUGGUCUGAGAGGACGACCAGCCACACUGGGACUGAGACACGGCCCAGACACCUACGGGUGGCAGCAGUCGAGAAUUUUUGACAAUGGGGGAAACCCUGAUCGAGCGACGCCGCGUGGAGGAUGAAGGUCUUCGGAUUGUAAACUCCUGUCAUUUGGUAACAAGGUGCACACGUUAACUGCGUGCGUAUUGAUAGUACCAGAAGAGGAAGAGACGGCUAACUCUGUGC